GAUGAACGCUGGCGGCGUGCCUAAUACAUGCAAGUCGAGCGAACAGACGAGGAGCUUGCUCCUCUGACGUUAGCGGCAGACGGGUGAGUAACACGUGGAUAACCUACCUAUAAGACUGGGAUAACUUCGGGAAACCGGAGCUAAUACCGGAUAAUAUAUUGAACCGCAUGGUUCAAUAGUGAAAGACGGUUUUGCUGUCACUUAUAGAUGGAUCCGCGCCGCAUUAGCUAGUUGGUAAGGUAACGGCUUACCAAGGCAACGAUGCGUAGCCGACCUGAGAGGGGGAUAGGCCACACUGGAACUGAGACACGGUCCAGACGCCUACGGGAGGCAGCAGUAGGGAAUCUUCGGCAAUGGGCGAAAGCCUGACGGAGCAACGGCGCGUGAGUGAUGAAGGUCUUCGGAUCGUAAAACUCUGUUAUUAGGGAAGAACAAAUGUGUAAGUAACUAUGCACGUCUUGACGGUACCUAAUCAGAAAGCCACGGCUAACUACGUG
rnacentral:rRNA from 1 species